UGCCUCGCGGCACAGCAAGCAGCAGUGUGAACCAAGACCAAGGCCUCUCUCCCUCGCUCCUCCACACGUUGUCAGCGUUUUUCUCUUUCUUAAUGUAGAACAUCCACAGCAGCGCAGACACGCAGCCCAGCUGUCCGUAUGCGAUUUCGUGCGCAACCCCCCUCCAAGCCUAGUGUACUAAAUGUAGAUUCGAAUUCAGAUGAUCAGAGGACGUGCUGCAGUGCGUUUUUAUAUUGUAGUGAAGCUUCAACUCCACCCAAGAAAUCUCUCGCUGCUUGACUCCAAGCGAGCGCGACCCCCCUUAUAUGGAAAAAGACGCAUCUUUUUAACCCCUCCCUCUCCUCUCCCUGUGUCUCCGCGUCUGCCUCUCCGCGUCUAAGCCCUUCUCUUGCUCAACGAGGCUCUGCAGAAGCCACGACCCCACCCUCCCAAAGCCUCCGUCUUUACGCUUGCCUUCCUCUGAAAUCUUCGUCUUUUUCGCUUUGUUCUCUCCUCUGAUCCGGUGCCUCCUCCUUUAGCUGUCGUGGGUGUUGCUUCUUCAGCAAUUUUCCAGCUUCCAUAAGCUUCCUCUGCUGCUGCUGCUGCUUCCGCCGGUUUGAACCCAUCAGAGCACGCACCCAGCUGGGGUUGGUGAUUGAAAUCGGUUCUUGAUCGAGCACCCAGAUUCGGCGGAUCAACUUUGGAUUUGAAGAUGCACGGAGCAGCUGUUUCCUCAUCAUCGUAAAGAAAAACGAAAUAUUUCAAAACUGGGCAUCAGGUUCUGCUAUAUUGACUCAUGGGUAGAGUCAGAGGAAGAGGGAAGAAGCAGACACUUGUGACUCGUGAAGAUCCUGGGAGCGGCGAAGAAGAAAAGGUUCCGAGAAUUAGAAAACGGGGAAGGCCACAGAAGCCAGUGAAGGAAGAUAUUGAAGUCAACGAUCACGAAACUGAUAAGGUAGAAGAAAUUGUUGAGCUCACCAAAGAUUCACUCUCUGGGAAGGAUGUGAAAAAUGAGGCUGCCACUGAAAAUGGAAGGAAGAGGAAAAGGUCUGCACAAGCCAAAGACAGUAUAGAUUCUGUCAAAGAAGAAAAUGGUAUCAAAACUAAACCAAGUGCCAAUGAUGCAGUCAAAUUCGCUGGAUACCGAACAAAUGGGAAUAGGCGAAAGAACAAGCCACGCCGUGCUGCUGAAGCUGGGGUUGAGUGCAAGUGAGAUUAUACUUGACUUGCUAUAAUUUCUGAUCUUCUUCCCAGAUUUGAGGCUAUGAUAGCCUUCAUAUGAUUUUGUUCUAUGAUUAUAAGUUCUCUUCUUCUUUUGGCUAGUUUCAUUUUUCAGAAAUGGAUAAUUUUGACUCUAAGGUUUUGGAAUGGAGAAUUCCACUGCUGCCUGUUGCAUUGAUCUACUCUACUACACUUGUGCUUCAGGAGUAAUUAUCAUAUUGUAAUUCUGUCAUGCACUCUGGUCUGCAACUUUAGUUCUUGACCAAGUGUGUUUUCUUUCA